rnacentral:rRNA from 1 species
GCCAGCAGCCAUAUCACCCUGCAACUCACACCUCACAGCCCAUUGAAGCUAAGCAGGUGUGAGCCUGGUUAGUUCCUUGAUGAGAGACCUCCUGGGAAAAAACUAAGGUGCUGUUGGAA